GGAGAGGUGCCAGAGUGGUUGAAUGGGCCGGUCUCGAAAACCGGUAUACGCGCGAGCGUAUCGUGGGUUCGAAUCCCACCCUCUCCGCCA
rnacentral:tRNA from 2 species